ensembl:lncRNA
ACCAAUACAAUAUUGUAAAGUUAAAAAAUAAAAUUAAAUUUAAAAAAAAAAAAUAAAAUAUAAAUGGCUCAGGCUAAGACUGGAAAAAAUUAUAGGGCUGAACUCAAUUUCAAAUAUUCAAGAUAGACCAUGACUUCUUAAGUAAUCAGAUACUCUGUUUUACAGUCUCUCUUCACCCAUGUUUUAUAUAUGUUUAUGUGCAUAUAGAAAUAAAGAUAUAGAGGGAAACAAUAGAAUGGAAAGACUGGAGAUCUCUUCACGAAAAUUUGAGAUAUCAAGGAAACAAUUCAUGCAAAGAUGGGCACAAUAAAGGACAAAAAUGGUAAGGAUCUAACAAGCAGAAGAGAUUAAGAAGAGGUGGCAAGAAUAUACAGAACUGUACAAAAAAAGGUCUCAGUGACCCGGGUAACCAUGAUGGUGUGGCCACUCUCCUAGAGGCAGACAUCCUGGAGUGUGACGUCAACUGGGCCUUAGGAAGCAUUGCAACAAACAAAGCUAGUGGAGGUGAUGAAAUUCCAGCUGAGCUAUUUCAAAUCCUAAAAGAUGAUGCUGUUGAAGUGCUGCACUUAAUAUGUUAGCAGAUUUGGAAAACAGGGGCCAAAGGAUUGGAAAAGGUCACUUUUCAUUCCAAUUCCAAGGAAGGAUAAUGCCAAAGAAUGUUCAAACCACCGUACAAUUGUGCUCAUUUCAUAUCCUAGCAAGGUAAUACUCAAAAUCCUUCAAGUUAGGCUUCAGCAAUACAUGAACCCAGAAUUUCCAGAUGCAUAUAUAAACUGGGUUUAGAAAAGGCAGAGGAACAAGAGAUCAAAUUGUCAACAUUGAUUAGAUAAUAGAAAAAGCAAGGGAAUUCCAGAACAAACAUCUGCUUCACUGACUAUGCUAAAGCCUUUGACUGUGUGGAUCACAAGAAACUGUAGAAAAUUCUUAAAGAGAUGGGAAUACCAGACCACCUUACCACAGAAACCUGUAUGCAGGUUAAGAAGCAACAGACAUGGAACAAUGGACUGGUUCAAAACUGGGAAAGGAGUACAAUAAGGCUGUAUACUGUCACCCUGGUUAUUUAACUUUAUGCAGAGUGUAUCAUGUGAAAUGCCAGGCUGGAUGAAUCACAAGCUGGAAUCAAGAUUGCUGGGAGAAAUAUCAACAACCUCAGAUAUUAGAGUGGUAACUAAUGGCAGAAAGUAAAGAGGAACUAAAGAGCCUCUUGAUGAGAGUGAAAGGAGAAUGAAAAGCUUGCUUAAACUCAACAUUCAAAAAACUAUGGCAAAAAAAGGGGGAAGAAGUAGGAAGAGUGACAGAUUUCAUUUCCUUGGGCUCCAAAAUCACCGUGAAUAGUGGAUGGCCAUGAAAUUAAAAGAUGCUUGCUCCUUGGAAGGAAAGCUGUGACAAAUCUAGACAGCAUAUUAAAAAGC